AUUUCGUGAUAAGGGCAUCUUCGUCAUAGUUCUUUAAACCUUUCCUAUGCCUCAUACAAAGACUCGUCAUCCAUCUGUUGGAAAGUACUGAUCUCGUUCCUUAACUU
rfam:Gossypium raimondii Chr02_contig_1143, whole genome shotgun sequence.